UACGUAGGGGGCUAGCGUUUUCCGGAUUUUCUGGGCGUAAAGAGCGCGCAGGCGGCUGGGCAAGUUCGGUGUGAAAGCUUCCGGCUUAACUGGAAAAUUGCAUCGGAAACUGCUCGGCUUGAAGGUGGGAGAGGGUAGCGGAAUUCCCGGUGUAGUGGUGAAAUGCGUAGAUAUCGGGAGGAACACCAGUGGCGAAGGCGGCUACCUGGCCCACUCUUGACGCUGAGGCGCGAAAGCUAGGGGAGCAAACGGG
rnacentral:rRNA from 1 species